GACGAACGCUGGCGGCGUGCUUAACACAUGCAAGUCGAACGGAAAGGCCCUGCUUUUGUGGGGUGCUCGAGUGGCGAACGGGUGAGUAACACGUGAGUAACCUGCCCUUGACUUUGGGAUAACUUCAGGAAACUGGGGCUAAUACCGGAUAGGAGCUCCUGCUGCAUGGUGGGGGUUGGAAAGUUUCGGCGGUUGGGUAUGGACUCGCGGCUUAUCAGCUUGUUGGUGGGGUAGUGGCUUACCAAGGCUUUGACGGGUAGCCGGCCUGAGAGGGUGACCGGACACAUUGGGACUGAGAGACGGCCCAGACUGCUACGGGAGGCAACAGUGGGAAAUAUUGCACAAUGGGCGGAAGCCUGAUGCAGAAACGCCGCGUGCGGGAUGACGGCCUUCGGGUUGUAAACCGCAUUCGCCUGUGACGAAGCGUGAGUGACGGUAAUGGGUAAAGAAGCACCGGCUAACUACGUG
rnacentral:rRNA from 1 species